UACGAAGGGGGCUAGCGUUGCUCGGAAUCACUGGGCGUAAAGGGUGCGUAGGCGGGUCUUUUAGUCAGGGGUGAAAUCCUGGAGCUCAACUCCAGAACUGCCUUUGAUACUGAAGAUCUUGAGUUCGGGAGAGGUGAGUGGAACUGCGAGUGUAGAGGUGAAAUUCGUAGAUAUUCGCAAGAACACCAGUGGCGAAGGCGGCUCACUGGCCCGGUACUGACGCUGAGGUGCGAAAGCGUGGGGAGCAAACAGG
rnacentral:rRNA from 1 species